rnacentral:rRNA from 1 species
GACGAACGCUGGCGGCGUGCUUAACACAUGCCAGUCGAACGGAAAGGCCCUGCUUGCAGGGUGCUCGAGUGGCGAACGGGUGAGUAACACGUGGGUGAUCUGCCCCUUACUUUGGGAUAAGCCUGGGAAACUGGGUCUAAUACUGGAUAGGACCAUGCUGUAGGUGGUGUGGUGGAAAGAUUAGUUUCGGUAAGGGGUGAGCUCGCGGCCUAUCAGCUUGUUGGUGGGGUAAUGGCCUACCAAGGCGUCGACGGGUAGCCGGCCUGAGAGGGUGGACGGCCACAUUGGGACUGAGAUACGGCCCAGACUCCUACGGGAGGCAGCAGUGGGGAAUAUUGCACAAUGGGCGCAAGCCUGAUGCAGCGACGCCGCGUGGGGGAUGACGGCCUUCGGGUUGUAAACUCCUUUCAGCCAUGACGAAGCCCUUGUGGUGACGGUAGUGGUAGAAGAAGCACCGGCUAACUACGUG